CACUGAAGCGGCAGUGAGGACUGGGGCGGGAAAGAGUGCCAGGUGUUACGUCACUGGAAAGGGGCGGAGCAAAGGUCAGGCGGAGGAACGAGCAGUGGAUUGACGGGCGAAGGAGCCCGGGGGAAAGCGAGGAAGUGAGUUCGUCCAAUCGGAGCGAGUCACGUUCCAGACCGUAUUGAACCUGCCUUCACAAGCAUUCAGACCUGGCCUUCUUCACAGUCUGCACAACUGACCGCUAAACAGAGUUCAGGGCUUUCAGCUUCACUGCCAGAAAGAUAAGUGUUGGAAAGAAGAAUGAAAAUGUCCCAAAUAGCAUUUAUGACCCAACUACUGAAGAAGAGGAAGAAAUCUGGGGAACAGACUUGUGGCCUUGCCUCUGCCUUCAUGUGGAAUCACCUAUAAACUUUCCAGAAGAAAGUGCAAGAAUUAUCUUCCCAUCAC
rnacentral:lncRNA from 1 species